AUUGAACGCUGGCGGCAUGCCUUACACAUGCAAGUCGAACGGCAGCACGGGGCAACCUGGUGGCGAGUGGCGAACGGGUGAGUAAUGCAUCGGAACGUACCUUUCAGGGGGGGAUAACGUAGCGAAAGUUACGCUAAUACCGCAUAUUCUGUGAGCAGGAAAGCAGGGGAUCGCAAGACCUUGCGCUGAUUGAGCGGCCGAUGUCAGAUUAGCUAGUUGGUGAGGUAAAGGCUCGCCAAGGCGACGAUCUGUAGCGGGGCUGAGAGGAUGAUCCGCCACACUGGACCUGAGACCCGGUCCAGACUCCUACGGGAGGCAGCAGUGGGGAAUUUUGGACAAUGGGGGCAACCCUGAUCCAGCCAUGCCGCGUGAGUGAAGAAGGCCUUCGGGUUGUAAAGCUCUUUCGGCCGGGAGGAAAUCGCACGGGCUAAUACCCUGUGUGGAUGACGGUACCGGAAUAAGAAGCACCGGCUAACUACGUGCCAGCAGCCGCAGUAA
rnacentral:rRNA from 1 species